UACAGAGGGGGCAAGCGUUGUUCGGAAUUACUGGGCGUAAAGGGCGCGUAGGCGGCCUGCUAAGUCGAACGUGAAAUCCCUGGGCUCAACCCAGGAACUGCGUCCGAUACUGGUUGGCUUGAAUCCGGGAGAGGGAUGUGGAAUUCCAGGUGUAGCGGUGAAAUGCGUAGAUAUCUGGAGGGACACCGGUGGCGAAGGCGACAUCCUGGACCGGUAUUGACGCUGAGGCGCGAAAGCCAGGGGAGCAAACGGG
rnacentral:rRNA from 1 species